GUGCUCGCUUCGACAGCACAUGUACUAAAACUAGAACGACACAGAGAUUAGCAUGGCCCCUGCGCAAGGAUGAUAGGCAAAUUCAUGAAGUGUUCUAUAAAAAA